GUGAGGAAUUUUCCGCAAUGGGCGAAAGCCUGACGGAGCAAUGCCGCGUGAAGGAUGAAGGCCUAUGGGUUGUAAACUUCUUUUCUUAGAGAAGAAUAUUGACGGUAUCUGAGGAAUAAGCAUCGGCUAACUCUGUGCCAGCAGCCGCGGUAAGACAGAGGAUGCAAGCGUUAUCCGGAAUGAGUGGGCGUAAAGCGUCUGUAGGUGGCUUCAAAAGUCUCCUGUCAAAGAUCAGUGCUUAACCCUGGGCCGGCAGGAGAAACUCUGAGGCUAGAGUUUGGUAGGGGCAGAGGGAAUUCCCGGUGGAUCGGUGAAAUGCGUAGAGAUCGGGAGGAACACCAAAGGCGAAAGCACUCUGCUGGGCCACAACUGACACUGAGAGACGAAAGCGAGGGGAGCAAAAGGGAUUAGAAACCCUGGUAGUCC
rnacentral:rRNA from 1 species